UACAGAGGAGCCAAGCGUUGUCCGGAUUGACUGGGCGUAAAGCGCACGCAGGCGGUCGCGCGCGUGGGGUGUGAAAUCUGGCCGCCUAACGGCCAGGCGCCAUCCCAUACGGCGCGACUGGAGUGAUGCAGAGGUCGAUGGAAUUGCCGGUGUAGUGGUGAAAUGCGUAGAGAUCGGCAGGAACACCCAGGGGGAAACCAGUCGACUGGGCAUCUACUGACGCUGAGGUGCGAGAGCGUGGGGAGCGAACCGG
rnacentral:rRNA from 1 species